CUAUUCCGCCACCAGGUGAGGAAAAUUUCGGUAUUUUCUGUCAUGAGUUUGAGUUUUGGACUGCUAAGUGCUGAAACCCUAGCCUUCCUCUACCGAGUGCCGAAACCCUAAUACUCUUAGAUCUACUCCUAGAUCUAAGAUGUAGCUUUGAGUUGUUUUUGCUUUUUUGUUCUAGAUCUACUCUUAUAUCUGAUCCCAUAAUUUGCAUUAUAUUUUCUAUUUAUUUAUUGAUAUUAGAAUCCUUGCUCUGAUAUCUGGGUUUUUUUUUUUUUUUUUGGGGGGGUUGUUUUUUGGGUUGUUAAUCCCCCAGUGACCACGAUCUGUCUUGCCGUCGGGCUUUCAGCAAAGAUUUUCCCGAUUUGCAAGGUGCUCUGUCUGGGUUGCUGCGUAAAGCAUUGUCUUCAUCCUCGUACUGUCGUCUUCAUCCUUAGGAUCUCUCAGUCCUAUUACUUGAAGUUGCUAUUUGGUGUGGAGAUUAAAUCAUUGAUGGAUAUGUUACUGAUUUUGCAAUUCAUAUAUUGUAAUUUUGUAUAUUGUAAUGUAAUGUAUAAAUAACAAAUAAUGAAAUAUGUAAUAGAUUGCAUUGUGAUGCAUGCAUGGAUGAAUUUAUGCA